ensembl:lncRNA
AAUUGCUGGGAUUAAAUCUCGGCUGCUUGUGCAACUGUGUGUGCAGGACUGGUGUGCACAUGGCUGCCUGGAUGUCUGUCGUCCAGAUGGCACCAGAUGGGGUCUUCUGUGAUAAGCAGGAGUGAGGCUGGGCAGCUGGAGACAGGGGCCGGUGGGAUGCUAAGUCCUCCUCUGCACCCAUGUCCCUAAUAUUCCUGCUUCUAUUCAGUUCUUCCCAUCGUGCAUGCGUGCAAGUUGCUUCAGCCGUGUCCAACUCUUUGCAACCCUAUGGACUAUAGCCCGCCAGGCUCCCCUGUCCACAGGAUUCUCCAGGCCAGAAUACUGGAGUGGGUUGCCAUGCCCUCCUCCAGGGAUCUUCCCAACCCAGGGAUCAAACCCACAUCUUUUAUGCCUCCUGCAUUGGCAGGCGGGUUAUUUACUACUAGCACCACCUGGGAAGCUCUCUUCCUGCCACCCCCGUCUUUUCGAAGGCUUCCAUCUCUCUCACCUGCAUUCCUUCAAUCCUGUCCUCCAAGCCAGUGUCCGCAGCUCCCUCUGCCAACCUUCCCCCACCUUCCCCCCACACAAUCAUCAGGGCGGUCCUUCUCAAUUGCAGAUCCAAUCAUGUCACAUCCCUGCUCUGAAUCUGUCAGUAACUUCCCAAGGUAGAUCUCAGUCUCCAGGACACCUGCCAACAAGUUCUGCUCUGCGGGACCUCUGCCUGCUCUGGAGCCUGCUCCAUGAUUGCAGCCUCUGCGGGCUCCUUCCAGUCACCCGCUGGGUCAGGCUCUCACCUCCACACUCUGCCACCUCUGCCUGGAGCCCGCUUUCCAACUCUCCUAGACGGCAGGCAUGCCUCCUUCUCUCUGGAAGCCGUUUCUGAUGACACCAGCCCAUUGUAGGUCCCCAGAGACGAGGAUCCUGUGUCUGUCUGCCUCAGCAUCGUGCCUUCGACAGAGAGCAUGGUAGUCGUUACAUAAGUAUCUCACGGAAGAGUGAAUGCACAGUCUGGAGAUGUUACCUCUGAUAGUAAGUCUUCUGACUAUGAUAAGUGGUUGAUGGAAAGGAGAGAAAAUUUCAACACACAGAAUGAAGAUCUGAUGGGAAAUAGGGAAAAGAUGAGAAGCAAUAUAGAGCACGGGGUUUCUAAACCUACAUCCACAGUGACUAUAUAAUUUGUCAUCCAAACCAGGAUACAUUUGAGCUUUAAAAACGGUCACUCUCAAAUCAUUUCACUUGGGGUGGGGGGGGGACUUCCCUGGCAGUCCAACGGCUAAGACUCCACAUUUCCAAUGCAGGGGGCCCGGGUUGGAUCCCUGGUCAGGGAAUUCGAUCCCACAUGCCACAGCUAAGACC